rnacentral:rRNA from 1 species
UACGGAGGGAGCUAGCGUUGUUCGGAAUUACUGGGCGUAAAGCGCGCGUAGGCGGCUUUGUAAGUUAGAGGUGAAAGCCCGGGGCUCAACUCCGGAACUGCCUUUAAGACUGCAUCGCUUGAAUCCGGGAGAGGUGAGUGGAAUUCCGAGUGUAGAGGUGAAAUUCGUAGAUAUUCGGAAGAACACCAGUGGCGAAAGGCGGCUCACUGGACCGGUAUUGACGCUGAGGUGCGAAAGCGUGGGGAGCAAACAGG